rnacentral:rRNA from 1 species
GACGAACGCUGGCGGCGUGCUUAACACAUGCAAGUCGAACGGUAAGGCCCUUCGGGGUACACGAGUGGCGAACGGGUGAGUAACACGUGGGUGAUCUGCCCUGCACUUCGGGAUAAGCCUGGGAAACUGGGUCUAAUACCGGAUAGGACCACUGCCUGCAUGGGCGGUGGUGGAAAGCUUUUGCGGUGUGGGAUGGGCCCGCGGCCUAUCAGCUUGUUGGUGGGGGGAUGGCCUACAAAGGCGACGACGGGUAGCCGGCCGGAGAGGGUGACCGGCCACACUGGGACUGAGAUACGGCCCAGACUCCUACGGGAGGCAGCAGUGGGGAAUAUUGCACAAUGGGCGCAAGCCUGAUGAAGCGACGCCGCGUGAGGGAUGACGGCCUUCGGGUUGUAAACCUCUUUCAGCACCGACGAAGCGCAAGUGACGGUAGGUGCAGAAGAAGGACCGGCCAACUACGUGCCAGCCGCCGCAGUAA